rnacentral:lncRNA from 1 species
AACUACUUUCAAAUUCACUCUCCCAAAACCUCCAAAUCCACCAACCCAAAAAAACAAUGGAGUAUACUUUCUCCCUUGGAAUCUCCACAACCCAGACGCGGCGUCGACGAUUAUCGCGAUGAACCCAGAAGACCAACUCUACAACGAAUUACCCGGAGACGGAGACUCGGACGACGGGUACACGAGCCUGAAGGACAUAAUAACAUCCGGCGGGUCACCCCCCAGCCAUUUCCAGGACGGACGCGGCGGGUUCGGCGGCGGGUACGGGCCGGACUAUAAGUUCGACCCGGCGAGCAUUAUGAUAAGCAACCAUCUGGUGAAGCACGCGGCGUCUGCGUACGUGUCGG